rnacentral:rRNA from 1 species
CCGGCACGGGUGAGUAACACGUAUCCAACCUGCCGUCUACUCUUGGACAGCCUUCUGAAAGGAAGAUUAAUACAAGAUGGCAUCAUGAGUCCGCAUGUUCACAUGAUUAAAGGUGUUCCGGUAGACGAUGGGGAUGCGUUCCAUUAGAUAGUAGGCGGGGUAACGGCCCACCUAGUCAACGAUGGAUAGGGGUUCUGAGAGGAAGGUCCCCCACAUUGGAACUGAGACACGGUCCAA